rnacentral:rRNA from 1 species
UGAAUACGAGAUGCUACGGCGUCGAAGCAGUCUAUGUCAUACUUCCAAGAAAAGCUUGCACUGUCAUAAACAAAUAAUGCCUGUACCAUAACCGACACAGGUGGGUAGGUAGAGUAUACUAAGGGGCGCGAGAUAACUCUCUCUAAGGAACUCGGCAAAAUGACUCCGUAACUUCGGGAGAAGGAGUGCCUUAUUUAUAAGGUUGCAAUAACAAGACCCAAGCAACUGUUUAUCAAAAACACAGGUCUCCGCUAAGUCGUAAGACGAUGUAUGGGGGCUGACGCCUGCCCAGUGCCAGAAGGUUAAAGAAGUUGGUUAGCAUUAGCGAAGCUGAUGACUGAAGCCCUGGUGAACGGCGGCCGUAACGAUAACGGUCCUAAGGUAGCGAAAUUCCUUGUCGGGUAAGUUCCGACCCGCACGAAAGGCGUAAUGAUUUGGGUACUGUCUCAGAGAGGGACUCGGUGAAAUAGACUUGUCUGUGAAGAUGCGGACUACCUGCACCUGGACAGAAAGACCCUAUGAAGCUUUACUGUAACCUGAAAUUGAAAUUGGACUUUAUUUGCGCAGUAUAGGUGGGAGGCUUUGAAGAUAUUCUUGCGGGAAUGUUGGAGCCAUCAGUGAGAUACCACUCUUGUAAUGUUAGAUUUCUAACUUUGUAUCAUUAUCUGGUCAAAGAACAGUUUCAGGCGGGCAGUUUGACUGGGGCGGUCGCCUCCUAAACGGUAACGGAGGCGCACAAAGGUUUCCUCUGAACGGGUAGAAAUCGUAUCUAGAGUGUAAAGGCAUAAGGAAGCUUGACUGUGAGACCUACAAGUCGAGCAGGGACGAAAGUCGGUCUUAGUGAUCUGACGGUGCUGAGUGGAAAGGCCGUCACUCAACGGAUAAAAGUUACUCUAGGAUAACAGGCUGAUCUCCCCCAAGAGUUCACAUCGACGGGGAGGUUUGGCACCUCGAUGUCGGCUCAUCGCAUCCUGGGGCGGUAGUACGUCCCAAGGGUUGGGCUGUUCGCCCAUGAAAGCGGUACGCGAGCUGGGUUCAGAACGUCGUGAGACAGUUCGGUCCAUAUCCGGUGUAGGCGUUAGAAUAUUGAGAGGAGCCUUCUCUAGUACGAGAGGACCGAGAAGGACACACCUCUGGUGUACCAGUUAUCGUGCCAACGGUAAACGCUGGGUAGCUAUGUGUGGAGCGGAUAACCGCUGAAAGCAUCUAAGUGGGAAGCCCACCUCAAGAUAAGUAUUCUCAU